UGCAGAUCCGCUCACACUUCUCAUAUUCCAGCUUCAUGCGGAUCGUCCGACGGAAGAAGCCCUGAGGGACGGUGAGGAGAAUGUGGGGCUUCUCUAGGAGGAUGGCAAAAAGUUUCCAAAGCAUUUCCCCAGAUCUGACAUACAGCAGGCAUUUGGGAAAUGGCAGCUCUACUCUCCAGGACGUGUGAUGAGCACCAGCUGUGUGCAGGGUGGGAUCGGACCCUGCCCUGGACUAGCUCAGAAAGAAGAAGUGCAACUGCCUGAGGUCUUGGAGCUGAUGAGCAACAGAACAGGGGUGUGAACGGAGGCUGUCUGGCUCCAGCCCUGAACCACUCUGCUACUCUGCACCCCAUGACGUUGUUUGCAGAGGGCAUUUCCUGUUCUGCCUGCCGUGCUGCCUCCGCCCCAUGUCCCCUGCUGCGCCCUCACCUGUGUAGCUGCUGGAAGGAAGCGAGCGCUCUGGUCCUCCGUUGAGUUCUGGGCCUCCUUCUGCCUCUG